rnacentral:lncRNA from 1 species
CGGCCGCGGGAGCGCAGUGCCAGCGCCGCCCGGCCCCACCGAGAGGGGCGCACUCGCCGCUGCGGGGCUCGCACCGCUCACCGCAGCCCCCUCCCGCCGACCCGCAAUGAAUGUCCAUUCUUCUGUUUCCUUGGAAACUGGUUUAAACGAGUAUUGGGGGUUGUUGCUUCAUUGCACAUGUUCAACUGUGUGCACUGAUAAACUUAACAACAGGUGAAGCACACAGGCAACAAAUAGAUGAAACAUAAGAACAAACCAUCUCGAGCAAACAAGUGAGACAUACAGCACAAACCGCCCUCAACGAUGACUUUGAACAGCUCUUUAGAGAAUUUUAUACUGCCUGCCCUCACCACAGUCCUCUCAAACCCUGAAUAAGUAAGUGGUCUGUGCCUGUUCCAAGGGCAGAGUGGAAAGUGGCAGUGGUCCUGUCCAGUGGACAUACUGCUUCCCUACUUGGACUCUCCAGGAUUCCAUCACAGAUUGCUGCAAUGUCUGUAUCUAAUCUAUCAUGGUUGAAGAAAAAGUCCCAGUCAGUGGAUAUUACUGCUCCAGGGUUCAACCCUUUGGGUGGUGCAGGGAAGCAAGCACCACAAGCCAGCAAGCCCCCAGCACCCAAGACUCCCAUCAUAGAAGAAGAACAG